ACGAACGCUGGCGGCAGGCCUAACACAUGCAAGUCGAACGGGUGUAGCAAUACAUCAGUGGCGCACGGGUGAGUAACGCGUGGGAACGUGCCCUUCACUACGGAACAACGUCGGGAAACUGACGCUAAUACCGUAUAAUGUCUCCGGACCAAAGAUUUAUCGGUGAAGGAUCGGCCCGCGUCUGAUUAGCUAGUUGGUGAGGUAAAAGCUCACCAAGGCGACGAUCAGUAGCUGGUUUGAGAGAAUGAUCAGCCACACUGGGACUGAGACACGGCCCAGACUCCUACGGGAGGCAGCAGUGAGGAAUCUUGGACAAUGGGCGCAAGCCUGAUCCAGCCAUGCCGCGUGAGUGAUGAAGGCCUUAGGGUUGUAAAGCUCUUUUGGCGGGGAUGAUAAUGACCGUACCCGCAGAAUAAGCCACGGCUAAAUUCGU
rnacentral:rRNA from 1 species